rnacentral:rRNA from 1 species
CGCCCUUUGAAAAGAUAACUAAAAUAUAAAGGGUUCUGCCUGCCCAGUGACGAAUAGUUAAACGGCCGCGGUAUUUUGACCGUGCAAAGGUAGCAUAAUCAUUUGCCUUUUAAAUGGAGGCUGGAAUGAAUGGCAAGACGAAAAUUUGACUGUCUCUUUUCUAAUAAUCUUGAAAUUAAUUUCCUUGUGAAGAAGCAGGGAUGAAAUCGUGGGACGAGAAGACCCUAUUGAGCUUAAAGAAUUAGUAUAAGCAUUGGGUUUCUAUUUUAGGCUAAUUUAUUUAUUUAUAUAAAUUUACUUAUAAUAGAAAUAAUGUUGUAUAAUGAAUUGUUUUGGUUGGGGCAACCGCGGAGAAAAAGAAACCUCCGCUAUUGAAAAGAAAAAAGAUACUACUUUUAUAAAAAAAUAAUUUUAUUAAAAAUGAUCCACUGGAAAGUGAUCAAAGGAAUAAGUUACCAUAGGGAUAACAGCGUAAUUUUUUUGGAGAGUUCAUAUUGAUAAAAAAGUUUGCGACCUCGAUGUUGGAUCGAGACUUCCUGGGGGUGCAGCAGCUUCCAAGGGUUGGUCUGUUCGACCAUUAAAGUCUU